rnacentral:misc_RNA from 1 species
AGCCAUCAGACUGAAUCUUGCGUUCGGUUUGGAUAUGGGUUUUGCUGGCCUUUGUCGGCUGACCUGAAAUGCAUUAGUGGUCGUUUAACCUUUCUUCAGCGUGAUAAGUAUCACUCGCUGAGGGAGGGGGUCUCAGAAGGGCUGCUUAUCUCUUUUUAAGUG